GUGAUUAUGGCUUGAAGGUAACACCCGUUCCCAUACCGAACACGAAGGUUAAGCUUCAAAGCGCUGAUGGUACUGCAGG
rnacentral:rRNA from 1 species